UGUUUGCUGAUAGACCGCUUUUUCUUCCUUUUUUUUGAAAGAUGAUAGUAACUGUGGUCACCAUGAACGAUCUGGCACACAUUUAAAAGUCUGUCUUUUUCUAGAAAAAGUAAAAGAUUAGCUAAACAUCUCGGUGCCCACCAGCCGCGGGAUAUUGUUAUAAACCAAACCUCUGAUAAAAAUGAUCAGAUUGAGCGUGAAGUGGUUCUCCAGGUCAAAAUGGUUAACUGCUAGCUAGCUUGUCAGAGAAGACGCUUCUUAUUUUGCUUCCCGUGUGUGUUAUUUGGAGAGGAUGGUAUCUAGUUAAGAAUAUAGGCUUUUAAGACCUCAAGCAUCUUUCUGAGAUAAUUAAAAAAACAAAAAAGCAGCAGGAUAACGCCGUAAAGUUGGACUUGCUCGGCAGAACAUUCUUGGCUAACGUUUACGCUAGCUACCCAAACUGACAGCGCUUAAACUGGGGAUUGAGCAGUUAAACAGCACGCUGAGGAGAACAGAGGUCAUGACAGGGAGGUGUCAUUUAAGGUUUGAUGGGUAAUCCUAAUGUAUGCCAACGUUCUGGAAAGCCUCACGUGAUCUCUAGGAGCACUUAUGACUGAUCAGAAGCUGGAGGGUGAGAUGGUCAAGGGCAGACCGGUCCAGUCCAUCACAAGGCAAACACAGAACACAGACAAACACAGAAUACAGAACAUCUGCACCCAGACUGACACCCAUGGGACCGUAUAUAUGCAUUUAAGUCUGAUUUAUUAUCUUAUUGUCAUGUAGUUUGACAAAU